UUACUUGAGGAAUAACCAUCGGCUAACUUCUGUGCCACCACCCGCGGUAAUACAGGGGAUGCAAGUGUUAUCCGGAAUUAUUGGGCGUAAAGCGUCUGCAGGUGGAUUUUUAAUUCUUUUGUUAAAUGUUUGGGCUUAACCCAAAAUCUGCAAAAAAAACUAUUGAUCUUGAGUCUGGUAAAGGUAAAAGGAAUUUCCAGUGGAGCGGUGAAAUGCGUAAAGAUUGAAAAAAACACCAAAAGCGAAGGCUUUCUACUGGGCCAUGACUGACACUCAAAAACAAAAGCUAGGGGAGCAAACAGGAUUAAAUACCCUGGUAGUCCUACCUGUAAACAAUGGACACUAAAUGUUGUUGAUUCACUGAAUCAGCAGUGUCGUACCUAACGCGUUAAGUGUCCCGCCUGGAAAGUAUGCUCGCAAAAGUGAAACUC
rnacentral:rRNA from 1 species